rnacentral:rRNA from 1 species
AGUAUUGGUUACAAUGCCCUGACCUUGGCAGCUAAGCAGGGUUGGGCCUGCUUAAUACUUGAAUGGGAGACCACCUAGGAAUACCAGGUGCUUUAGGCUU